UCUCCAUUCCUUUUUUUCCAUCGAAGUUCUUCGUUCCAUUAAAAUUUUCUCAGUUUCAAAUUUUGGGUUCAGGGUUUUGGUUUGAUUGAACAUUCAAUCAUCAUCUAUCCUGUAACCUUAAAUUCAAAAUUGGGUGAAUUCAUUGAAUUACUUCCACGUUAAUUAAUUAUAGAGAAUCAUCAACCAUUUUUUUUCCAGGAGAUCCCAAUUUAUUUUUAUUAACCGACGAUUGCAAACUUCAGACUUGGGGAAAAAAAAUCUGAUCGAAUUUUUUUUGAGUCAAUCAGGAUCCUUGUUGGAACCGGGGAAAGUUUCCAUAAUGCAUAUGAGACUAUUGCGUUAGUUGGUUUGAUUUAGUUUGAGUUAUUCCUUAGAACGAUGGUACAAUGCAAAAGCCUUUAGCAAUCAACACUCAGAACCAAAAAUUUCUUUUUGGACAUGUAUGUUGUAUUCGGAGUUGGGUAGAGCAUUUACUAUCGCUUCCUAUAAAUUUGGAUUUUUCUUAUUUAUUUAUUUAUUUGCAUCAUGCUUUAUUUCCUGGGUUCGAAGAGGAUACUAAAUUUUAUCUUCCCGGGAAUGACCUUCUAAAGUGUUUGCAUGUUCCUAUUUCCAGCUCUUAGUGGUGUGAUUUUUGGGUACGA